rnacentral:misc_RNA from 1 species
GCUUAGCAUUGGUGAUGUCGGUUUGGCCAGGCAUCUCCAAUCUCCAUAAGUUUCUCUAACACAAUGUACAACAAAUGAGGUAAAUUGUCUGAGUUCAAAUGAUGUAAGACUCCGUUGGAUAUGUAAAAGAAAAGCUGAUAAAGGGUACGUAACAGUCGCUAUAUAUAUGUGCUUGUGUUCUCUCCUUUCUAUAUAUAUUAUAUGAACACAUUUAUAUAGAGAGGAAGGGAUAUAUAUAUAUAUGAUAAUGAUGAUCUCUUCUAAUAAAACCAACAUCUCUAUCUGAAUCAUGGCAAAGUUGUGCCUGAAGAAGGCAGUACUGGUAAGUGUAUACGAGGAGAAACCAACGAAGAGAAGGGUUUCAUCAACCAACCACCGCCACCAUCAUUACCACCCCCACCACCGUUACGUUCAUCACAGCAUCCAACAAGAAAGGGAUGAUGAUAGCCCUACUGGUAAAGGAUACAAUAGAAGAGCUGAGCUUCUUCUCUACUCUCAACGCCUCAGGCAUUCUGUUCGUCCUGCAGAAUCCUCUCACUUGUUGGAUCCAAAGUCAACCUCUUCCACUUCCAACAUCCUGCAAUCUGCAGUCAAUGCGGUUGCUGUCAAAAGAAAACCAAAAGAUAAAAGGACUCCCAAUUGUCUAGGCAACUGGAAAAUCUUAAGUCUCAAGUUCUGCAGAUCUUUGACGAGUGUCCAAGUCAAGAAAGAAAAUAAGAAAAAGAAGCAUACUGGAUCUACAAGCAAUGCUAUGAAAGUUGUCAUGAAAAGCCUAGAGGUGAGAUAGUAAUGUAGUUUGAGAAUUUAUUCUUUCUUGAUUGAUAUGAUAGAUAAAGAUCUUAUGUUUCACUUCCUUCAGGUGCAAAAGAAGAGGGGUUUCAUUUCAAAAUUGCUGUGGCAGAAGCAUGAGAAAUGAUGCAUUUAUAACAAAACAAUUGUUCAUUUAUGUAUUCAUAUUAAACAUCAUGAAAUGUAAUUAGCAGCACAUUCUUUUUAAUUUCUUCAUAAUUAUGUUUCCCUAUAGUUUACAUGAUUUGUGAUCUCCUUUUUUUCUAGCAUAUGAUGAAAUAAAGGAAAGAAAAAUUCUCUCCAAAAAUCACUGCAUUUGGA